rnacentral:rRNA from 1 species
UGGGGAAUUUUGGACAAUGGGCGAAAGCCUGAUCCAGCAAUGCCGCGUGUGUGAAGAAGGCCUUCGGGUUGUAAAGCACUUUUGUCCGGAAAGAAAUCCUUGGCUCUAAUACAGUCGGGGGAUGACGGUACCGGAAGAAUAAGCACCGGCUAACUACGUGCCAGCAGCCGCGGUAAUACGUAGGGUGCAAGCGUUAAUCGGAAUUACUGGGCGUAAAGCGUGCGCAGGCGGUUUGCUAAGACCGAUGUGAAAUCCCCGGGCUCAACCUGGGAACUGCAUUGGUGACUGGCAGGCUAGAGUAUGGCAGAGGGGGGUAGAAUUCCACGUGUAGCAGUGAAAUGCGUAGAGAUGUGGAGGAAUACCGAUGGCGAAGGCAGCCCCCUGGGCCAAUACUGACGCUCAUGCACGAAAGCGUGGGGAGCAAACAGGAUUAGAUACCCUGGUAGUCCACGCCCUAAACGAUGUCAACCAGUUGUUGGGGAUUCAUUUCCUUAGUAACGUAGCAAACGCGUGAAGUUGACCGCCUGGGGAGUACGGUCGCAAGAUUAAAACUCAAAUGAAUUGACGGGGUCAUAGCUGUUUCCU